UCCUAAAGUGCUGGGAUUACAGGUGUGAGCCACCUUGCUCAUUCUAGUUUAAACUUUUGAAUGGUUUGUGUCUCCUGAUUGGACUCCUACAAAUACAGAGUCGAUGCUAGGAAGGGUACCAGGAGAUAGACACACACAGAUGGGAUUUGGGAGUAGGUUUGGUUAUCCAAGGAGCAGUGCUGAGCUCCUUGCUAAUGGGAUAUGGGAUGCUGGUGAUUUCCAGGAAGUGACUUCACAAUGACUCAAGCUACCAUAUACUGUUGAUUGUGAAAUGCCAGUUGAAGCAUAUGUCCUGUGAGCUUAGGGGUGCUACAGGUUGACCACUGCAGCAGUAAAGAUGACUCUGAAGAAUGGCAUGGGAUGGAUCCUUUCGAAUGCACUUGAGCAGCGGUCUCCAACCACAGGGCCACAGAGCUGGAGCUGGAUCUACCAUGAACGACUUCUGAAUCCAGGAAGAGAGACUGACUGGGCAACAUGUUAUUCAGGUACAAAAAGAUUUGGACUGUAACUCAAAAAUGAUCAAAUGAUAGUGCAUGCAUCAAGUGCAAUGGGAAGCUCUUCU
rnacentral:sRNA from 1 species